UCACUAAAAACUCCUGCCGGUCACAGCC
rnacentral:sRNA from 1 species